GAUGAACGCUGGCGGCGUGCCUAAUACAUGCAAGUCGAGCGAACAGACGAGGAGCUUGCUCCUCUGACGUUAGCGGCGGACGGGUGAGUAACACGUGGAUAACCUACCUAUAAGACUGGGAUAACUUCGGGAAACCGGAGCUAAUACCGGAUAAUAUAUUGAACCGCAUGGUUCAAUAGUGAAAGACGGUUUUGCUGUCACUUAUAGAUGGAUCCGUGCCGCAUUAGCUAGUUGGUAAGGUAACGGCUUACCAAGGCAACGAUGCGUAGCCGACCUGAGAGGGUGAUCGGCCACACUGGAACUGAGACACGGUCCAGACUCCUACGGGAGGCAGCAGUAGGGAAUCUUCCGCAAUGGGCGAAAGCUUGACGGAGCAACGCCGCGUGAGUGAUGAAGGUCUUCGGAUCGUAAAACUCUGUUAUUAGGGAAGAACAAAUGUGUAAGUAACUAUGCACGUCUUGACGGUACCUAAUCAGAAAGCCACGGCUAACUACGUG
rnacentral:rRNA from 1 species